UCUUAUGGAUGAGCAAAGAAUGUGGUUUUUUUGAGAUGGAGUCUACUCCUAGUGAAGAUUCUGUGAA
rnacentral:pre_miRNA from 1 species